CAGCCGCCGCGGUAAUACGUAGGUCCCGAGCGUUGUCCGGAUUUAUUGGGCGUAAAGCGAGCGCAGGCGGUUAGAUAAGUCUGAAGUUAAAGGCUGUGGCUUAACCAUAGUACGCUUUGGAAACUGUUUAACUUGAGUGCAAGAGGGGAGAGUGGAAUUCCAUGUGUAGCGGUGAAAUGCGUAGAUAUAUGGAGGAACACCGGUGGCGAAAGCGGCUCUCUGGCUUGCAACUGACGCUGAGGCUCGAAAGCGUGGGGAGCAAACAGGAUUAGAUACCCGCGUAGUCCCUGUCUCUUAUACA
rnacentral:rRNA from 1 species